rfam:Schistosoma curassoni strain Dakar, Senegal genome assembly, scaffold: SCTD_contig0008752
AUUCUUCUGACGAGUCCUAAAUGGGACGAAACAUGAGUCGUGGAU